AACGAACGCUGGCGGCAGGCCUAACACAUGCAAGCCGAGCGAACCCUUCGGGGUUAGCGGCGGACGGGUUAGUAACGCGUGGGAAUAUACCCUUUGGUACGGAAUAGCCUCGGGAAACUGAGAGUAAUACCGUAUGUGCCCUUGGGGAAAGAUUUAUCGCCAAAGGAUUAGCCCGCGUUGGAUUAGAUAGUUGGUGGGGUAAUGGCCUACCAAGUCUACGAUCCAUAGCUGGUUUGAGAGGAUGAUCAGCAACACUGGGACUGAGACACGGCCCAGACUCCUACGGGAGGCAGCAGUGGGGAAUCUUAGACAAUGGGCGCAAGCCUGAUCUAGCCAUGCCGCGUGGACGAUGAAGGCCUUAGGGUUGUAAAGUCCUUUCAGAUGGAAGGAUAAUGACGGUACCAUCAGAAGAAGCCCGGCUAACUCCGUGCCAGCAGCCGC
rnacentral:rRNA from 1 species